AAUUAAAAAUUUCAUUUAUUUCUACUGUUAAAAAUCGACAUAGCCAACAAAAUAACUAAAUAAUUACACAUGGUAUGACACGUGUAUCUUAUACUAACGUAUAAUGAUUAGUUUUUAACAAUUAAAAUGGAUGAAAUUUUUCACA
rfam:Gossypium raimondii Chr03_contig_481, whole genome shotgun sequence.